rnacentral:lncRNA from 1 species
CCUGCGAGCUCCGCCUCGGAGAACUGCAAGUAAUCAACUAUCUUCUCAAUGGCAUCGUCUCCGGGUCCGCUGGCCUUACUGAACCGCACAUGUUCCCUUGUCACUUUCUGUGUGAAACCUGCCCUCCCAGACCCUUUGCAGACGCUUAGCCUGAACAGAGGAAGAGCAAAGGAUGUGUGCGCCCUGUCACAGCAUCUUCGACAAGCAGACAGCCGUCAGUUCCUAACUCAACUUUCCAGCAAUAAUCCAGUUAGAGAGCUGCUCCCUGAGUCAGAGCCCACUGUGCACCUGAAGUCAGAAGCAUCUUCUCCAGCGGAGGCCGAGCACGUCGCUCCCUGCUCCUGCUCCCCUGCUCCUUAGAAACUGACCCAGGGCCCUUGCUGUGGAACUGAGCUUAGCCUAACGAGGCAGCUCAGAGGCAGGCGCCGGCCAGCCAGCCAGCACCCAAGCUCACAGAAGAGACGGAGAAAGCCUCAUCAGCAGAGCGUUCCGUCAUCGCAGCUGACUGCUCUCCAGGCCUGAGCUGGGGGAUAUCGAAGUUCGGAGACGCACCCAGCGGAAGUGGUCCCAGAAACAAGGGGUGCUGGUCCACGUCCCCCCAAGCCUCGCGCCUGCCUCUGUCUUGUACGUGCCCACCACCGCAGCCUCCUUCUGUCUGGGACGCC